rnacentral:lncRNA from 1 species
GUUUGUAGUGCAGUACGGUCAGCUAAGCCAUCUGCCCCAUCCCAUCCAAUCCAAUACCAUAGCUCAGUCACCUAGGCUGAUAUGUCCGUUUGUAUUUCUAAUGCCACAUUAACGCGUCAAUGAUUAGUGGUUGGCAUUUACUGUAGUUUUUGGCGAAUCUUCAUGGGUUUGUGUUUCUCGUAUCUCUAUUGAUUUAUACUUCUUGAUAGGGUCUUAGCCAUAUUCCUACAAUACAAUGCAAUAUGCGGCAGCUAUAAGUUAUAUGGAUAUUACUAGUCGUAGGUGCAGCUAUUAAUUUCGUACUAGUAUAGUUGUUCAGCCAAGUAGGAAAAGUUAGAUGCAUGUACAUGUAUGGAACUGACUAUGCAGUAUUCAAGUUUCCAGCAAUUUUUCGUUGAAAAAACUAAUCACUGUUGAAAAAGUAGCUUUCAAUUUUGACAGUGAUCUUUUACUGCAAACACUGAACCAUCUCACUUGACAAAGUUUAUCUAUUAAUUAAAUAUAUUGGCAAUACCAAAAUGCAUCAAUUUAUCAGUAUUUUAGAUUAUCUUGAGAGAGUUCAAAUUCAGAGUAACCUUUGGUCUAGAGACUUUGUGUGAGUAACGAUUUUCUGUUGACUUCUCCAUUCUGACCAUGGUAUUGGCUUAUGGAGAUCAUUGUUUGUCUAUGGAGAAAAUUUAAUGUCAGUAUACAUACAUUCAAAAUAUUGUUUUGUGGUCUUCUAAAUUACCAAUACAUAUGUUGUAUCUUCAAGUUACAGAAACUGGAUUGUUUCAGGUAGUGAUGACAUUACGCGGUGACUGUGGACUCUGGCGUCAAAGGACAAAACAUGGUUCAGGUUGCCGCUUGUAUUUUACUACAUUUAAGUGUAGUACGUGAAUGUAUAAUUGGAAUAAUAUAGCUUUGAAAUCACAGCCUGUAAAUCCUAGCACCACCACUGGUUCCAUGUCAAUAUUCUUGGCACUUAAACAUGGAAGAUCACUAGUGCCAGAUAGGAAUUUUUAUGAUGUAAUUUGUAACUGUAGUUCUACCACCACAAAGAGAAAUUGGACUACUAAUUGCCAUCCUGAAUAUUAUUUCUUAUCUACCAUAUACCUAUAUUUUUUCCCACCUAAUUUGUACAAAAAGAAAACUUUUCUUGCAUGUGAAAUUCUCAUACUGCUUCUGCGAGAUAUGACUCGUUACAACUAGAUUAAGUAAAACAAUUCAUCAAAUACUGUGUGUGUAAAUUACAUUCCCUCGCUUCCUAUAAAACACUAUUUCUAUCGACAUGAUGAAAAUUAAUUAUGGAAUGAGGUGAGUUAGCUUAGUACGCUAAUAUCUACUUUCAGCUACAGAUGCGUGAUACUUUCCAAAUCUAACUAGUCUGGGUUUUGCGAAUAUAUCGCACCAUAUUCACUCAUGCUAUCGCCGAUUAGUCACAUAAGUUUAUUCGAUAUCAAUUAGAUAUGUAGUUUUUUUGUGGUUAAAAAACUAAUGAAUUGUAGUUUUUCUUCCGUAGAGAUGUACAUGUAGAGUUGGUGCUACAUUAGCAAAAUCUGACCAGUUGAUACGACCACUAAAAAUGUUAAAAAUUAUUGGCCAUGCAGCUGGAUUAAUUAUUGCAUGGCCUUCAACCUUUGUUUGUUGCUCUUCUAAAUUUUGCUGCUCUAUUAACCUUUUUUUCUACUGUAAGUUACUGAUCUCAUUUCUUUAUUUUUGUAGAUUCAUAAGAUAUUUUGACGAUGCAUGGCUUAGACGUUGAUUGCACGGUCCAGAAUGGUGCUAUAGGAUACUCUUAUCAUCUGAUUGCAAGGUCGAGAAUGGUGUUGCUGCUAGAUAGUUUGAUCAUCUGAUUGCAAGGUCGAGAAUGGUGUUGCUGCUGGAUAGUUUUAUCAUCUGAUUGCAAGGUCGAGAAUGGUGUUGCUGCUAUAUGGUCUUAUCAUAUGAUUGCAAGGUCGAGAAUGGUGUUGCUGUUGGAUAGUCUUAUGUUAUGUUUUAGGAUAUCAUUUCCAGUGUCAAUGUUUCAAAAGUUCUAAUUUCGAAUAGUUGAGAAAAUGAUUGAAAAGAUCCAGAAUUGGGCUAGUAUUGUAAUCUUUGGAUCAUGUUCUUUGUAAUGCAAUAGAUGAAAUUGAAUAUAUUAGACCUUUUUCAUAUAUUGUGCCUCCUAUGUACUAUCCCCAUCGACCUUAUCAUUAUCAAUGGCUAUAUAUAAAAUACAUGUUAUAUCCAUUUGAAUA